AACGCGAAGAACCUUACCUGGGCUUGACAUGCUUGGAUUAUCCCCGUGAAAGCGGGGUAGGCCCUUCGGGGUACAACAAGUACAGGUGUUGCAUGGCUGUCGUCAGCUCGUGUCGUGAGAUGUCGGGUUAAGUCCCUUAACGAGCGAAACCUUUGCCCUUAGUUACCAUCGAGUAAAGUCGGGGACUCUAAGGGGACUGCCGGUGUCAAACCGGAGGAAGGUGGAGAUGACGUCAAGUCCUCAUGGCCUUUAUGCCCAGGGCCACACACGUGCUACAAUGGGGUGCACAAAGCGAACCGAAACCGCAAGGUUGUGGAAAUCGCAAAAAUCAUCCCCCAGUUCAGAUCGGAGGCUGCAACUCGCCUCCGUGAAGUUGGAAUCGCUAGUAAUCGCGGAUCAGCUACGCCGCGGUGAAUGUGUUCCCGGGCCUUGUACACACCGGCUAC
rnacentral:rRNA from 1 species